rnacentral:rRNA from 1 species
UGAGUAGGCGGUUACAUAUGUCAGAUGUAAAAGGCACAGGCUUAACUUGUGUUAGCAUUUGAAACUGUGUGACUUGAGUGCAGGAGGAGGUAAGUGGAAUUCCUAGUGUAGCGGUGAAAUGCGUAGAUAUUAGGAGGAACACCAGUGGCGAAGGCGACUUACUGGACUGUAACUGACGCUGAGUCACGAAAGCGUGGGUAGCAAACA